AGUGAAGUUAUGUGAUAUCACCGUGUCGUAGAAGUUACCCUCUAAUUUAGUUAGGGGUGAGGGGAUUUUGGUUUUUUCACCCUUCCCAUGACAUAUAAACCAUAAAAUUUACCAUUUUACCUUCAGUUAAAAGAAUUAAACACUCUUAUUCACUUCUGUAAUACCUAAACCAAAAAUCUUAAGGGUUUUACUGUGCAUUCAUCAUUCAGGUUCAAAACUUCAAAUUGCU
rnacentral:lncRNA from 1 species